AUGUCUCCAGCUCGACCUCGCGGCCGGGCGCCCCUUUCGGGUCACUACCUGUGGGGUGUCGGAGUCUGGAGGACAGCGCUGCCAUCCCGUCGGAAAGGAAGCCCCAACCAAAGUCCAGUCCAGGACCCCCAGCUCAGUCCUCACUUGUGUUCCAUGAGGUGUAGGAACAGUGCUUCGGGGAGCUGUGCCCUGCCUCUCAUGCAAGAUGACUGUGUUAGUAAUUGCCGUUUUAUGUCACGUGGUAUUUAUUGUUAUCUAGCUUUGCAGCUUGAAAAUUAGGGCAAGGUCUACAUGUACGAGUUGAUUUGAGUGACUUGUCAGGUUUAUUUUUAAAAUUGAAGGAAUGAACUGGAUAAUCUGAUACAGCUAUAUCUAUAUCCAUAUAACCUUUUCCUGUCCUUUUUUGGGAGGGGGGACCGACAAUUGGCGAUCCCAAAGAUUAAGCAAUUAGCUUUUCUUUGCUUCUGUUUCUUUUUCUUAUUUCUUCUUUUCAUUUAGAAGUGAACUUUUACUUUGGCUAUGGGCAUCAAUGUUUGCAUUUUUUUCUUUAUAUGGUGUGAGGUUAUCUAGUGAAACGCUGUUUCUCAGGCCACAAAUGUUAUUAUCAAGGAAAAGUAAGGCUACUUAGUUCCUGUCAUGUUGGCUCCAGCCCUCACCCCAAACUUGUAAACCAUGAAUCUUCAAAAUAUAUGUGAGACUUCAGGGAAAGGGUGAGAUAAAUUUUGUUAGUACCAGAAAUGGAAUGUCCUUUUUAAUAAUGAGUUAAAACUCAUUCCUACUGAGAUACGAGGAAAAGUUAACUCUGGAGGAAAAUUAAAGACCAGCUUUUAGUGUGUGUAGGUGUAUGCUUUCUUAGAUUUGCUGUACUAAAUAAUUCAUGAGGAGUGUUGAUUUUGGGGCACAUUUUCAUUGAGAUGCCUUCAAUGAACUGGGCCUUAAAUGUGGGAAACAGUGUAGCCCUUGGCCCUGUGAAGGUUUUAUUCUAGUUCAAAGAAGGAUUUUACAUUAAUAGUGACAAGGGUGAUAUGAGACUAUGGAGCAGGAUAAGUUGAGGAGGUCCAGGAAAAUAUCUGAAAAGAGAUUUUGAAACUAAAGGAUGAGUUCUGUGUAGCUAACCAAGGAGUUUGGCUCUACAGUAAGAUUGUGGAGGAGAUUUGAGACCAUAUUUCAUGUGCACAGUCCCUCAGGUGGUACAAAGCCUGGUAUGUUCUAGCAGCAGAAAAAAGACAGGGAAAGCUAAACUAAAGAAGAUAAAGCAGGGAGUGAAUGACUAGGUUGGACAGGAGGGCAGGGCCUUGAAAGUCAUGGUAAACUCUACAGUGUAUUUUGUGAGGUCUUUGGGAAGCCACCGUAUCAUAGUUUUAAGGGUGGGAUUGACGUGUUUACUUUUGUAAUUUAAACAAAACAUUGCUCUUGGAUUGAAUGUAGACUUUAGGAUAGACAAAAAUGCAGAGCCCAUGUAAGAGAUUGAGUAAAUUCAGGACUUGCAUGAUAGUAGGCAGGUAUUAAUGAUUAUCAAAUCAGAAAAGUUGGAAGUGUGUGUGGAAGGAGGUAGAAUUGAGAGGAUUUGGUGACAUGCAUAUUUUUGUAGGAGGGAGCAGAGGUCAGCAGUUGAUGGCCUAUGUGACAAAUUGGGUCCAGUUUUGGCUUUUACACAAAACUUUAUUGGAACCCAUUUUUUAUGUGUAGUUUGUGGCUGUUUCUGUACUACCAUCAUAUAGUAAAGUAGAGGUGACAGAGAUCAUGUAGCACAUAAAUGUGAAGACAUUUCCUAUUCGGUCUUCUGCAAAAAAAGUUUGUCAGCCCAGAGUAUAAAAAGCACUUAGUGUUUAUCAUGUGCUGGGGUGGUUGCUGGAUAUGAAGGUCUGAAAAAAUUGGGCACAGACUUACAUUUCCCGGAUUUAUAUUAUAGUUGGAGAGAGCAAGAUAAAGUCACCCCCCCCCCAAAAUAAAGAAGCAUCACAACUUUUAAAGGGCAGUGGAGGAAAUGUAGAAAGUGGUAGAAGUGAUUUUUACAAUACAAGAAGAAAAAUUAUCUUUUUAUGAAGUGAGAGGAGCCAGGAGAAAUCCCCAUGGCCUGUUGUCUGAAAGGUGGCUUACAACCCACUAUGUUGCUUAUUAUAAAUAAAUGUGUAAAUGUUGUUACCUUGGAUUUCCUGCUGGAAGAGGAAGAAAAGGCUGACAGAGUGUGAGCAUCUUCAUUGCUGCCCUUGGGGACCUGGGACAUCUGUCUGUGCAUGACUUCUAGAGGGCACUGCUAUGAGAGGUGUGUUCCACUGCAGACCCCAAGACUGCGCCUACCCAGCAGGGCUCUUCCAGCGCCACCUGUGCCAUCUUUUGUGAUUCCUACUGAAAAUACCUGUGUCUGUAUAAAUUUAAAUUUAAAUUAGUUAGGAUUCCGUGAAAUUAAAGAUUCAGUGCAUCGGUCACCUUAGGCACAUUUCUCAGUCUCAGCAGCUACACAUGGCUACCUUUUGGGAAAGCGUAGGCAGAAACUCCCGUCAUCACAGAGAGAUGUGAUAGACAGCACAACUCUAGAGUUUAGAAAUUUAAAGGCCAUAAGUUUGCUUGAUCAGGAUAGUUGAGUCUUUUCCUUGCUUCAAGAAAAAUCUAUAACAACCAUUGGUGAAUUCCUACAAUCCUGUCUACUGAAACUAUGUAUUGUCUCUAAUGUUCUUUUAACUUAUUUUCUUAUUCCCUUUAAUGAUGUGAUCAAUCUUCUAUACAUCUGAUAAUCUGAGAAAGUUCGUUGAAGAUAACAAUACAUAAAUAACAACCACUGUUAAUCCCUAUCAUUUGGUUUGGAACCCCAUAUCAUUUUUAAUGUCCUUGCUUUGUUUUGUUUGUAUUUUGCUAUUCCUUUUUUUUGUACUAUUUUCUUUAAAAUAAAAAAUUUUAAAAAAUAAAAUUGAAGUAAUUUUCAUGUCUAUUCGCAGGCCUACGCCUUGUUAU
rnacentral:lncRNA from 1 species